UGCCGCGGUCGCCGCCACCCGAGCCGGAGCGGGCUGGGCCGCCAAGGCAAGAUGGUGGACUACAGCGUGUGGGACCACAUUGAGGUGUCUGAUGAUGAAGACGAGACGCACCCCAACAUCGACACGGCCAGCCUCUUCCGCUGGCGGCAUCAGGCCCGGGUGGAGCGCAUGGAGCAGUUCCAGAAGGAGAAGGAGGAACUGGACAGGGGCUGCCGCGAGUGCAAGCGCAAGGUGGCCGAGUGCCAGAGGAAGCUGAAGGAGCUGGAGGUCGCCGAGGGCGGCAAGGCAGAGCUGGAGCGGCUGCAGGCUGAGGCACAGCAGCUGCGCAAGGAGGAGCGGAGCUGGGAGCAGAAGCUGGAGGAGAUGCGCAAGAAGGAGAAGAGCAUGCCCUGGAACGUGGACACGCUCAGCAAAGACGGCUUCAGCAAGAGCAUGGUAAAUACCAAGCCCGAGAAGACGGAGGAGGACUCAGAGGAGGUGAGGGAGCAGAAACACAAGACCUUCGUGGAAAAAUACGAGAAACAGAUCAAGCACUUUGGUGAGUGGGGCGUGUGGGUUAUGGGGGGCAAGGUCGAGGCAGGCCCUUUGCCUCCAGGGCCCUCCAGCACCUUGCCAGCAUCUUCCCACAGGCAUGCUCCGCCGCUGGGAUGACAGCCAAAAGUACCUGUCAGACAACGUCCACCUGGUGUGCGAGGAGACGGCCAAUUACCUGGUCAUUUGGUGCAUUGACCUAGAGGUGGAGGAGAAAUGUGCACUCAUGGAGCAGGUGGCCCACCAGACAAUCGUCAUGCAAUUUAUCCUAGAGCUGGCCAAGAGCCUGAAGGUGGACCCCCGGGCCUGCUUCCGGCAGUUCUUCACUAAGAUUAAGACAGCCGAUCGCCAGUACAUGGAGGGCUUCAACGAUGAGCUGGAAGCCUUCAAGGAGCGUGUGCGGGGCCGCGCCAAGCUGCGCAUCGAGAAGGCCAUGAAAGAGUACGAGGAGGAGGAGCGCAAGAAGCGGCUCGGCCCUGGCGGCCUGGACCCCAUCGAGGUCUACGAGUCCCUCCCCGAGGAACUCCAGAAGUGCUUCGAUGUGAAGGACGUGCAGAUGCUGCAAGACGCCAUCAGCAAGAUGGACCCCACCGACGCAAAGUACCACAUGCAGCGCUGCAUUGACUCUGGCCUCUGGGUCCCCAACUCUAAGGCCAGCGAGGCCAAGGAGGGAGAGGAGGCAGGUCCUGGGGACCCACUACUGGAAUCUGUUCCCAAGACGGGCGAUGAGAAGGAUGUCAGUGUGUGACCUGCCCCAGCUACCACCGCCACCUGCUUCCAGGCCCCUAUGUGCCCCUUUUCAGAAAACAGAUAGAUGCCAUCUCGCCCGCUCCUGACUUCCUCUAC
rnacentral:sRNA from 1 species